rnacentral:rRNA from 1 species
AAACUAACAAGGAUUCCCCUAGUAACGGCGAGUGAMCCGGGRAAAGCUCAAAUUUGAAAUCUGGCGUCCUCAGGGCGUCCGAGUUGUAAUCUAUAGAGGCGUUUUCCGUGCCGGACCGUGUCCAAGUCCCUUGGAACAGGGUAUCAAAGAGGGUGACAAUCCCGUACUUGACACGACUACCGGUGCUCUGUGAUACGUCUUCUACGAGUCGAGUUGUUUGGGAAUGCAGCUCAAAAUGGGUGGUGAGUUCCAUCUAAAGCUAAAUAUUGGCGAGAGACCGAUAGCGAACAAGUACCGUGAGGGAAAGAUGAAAAGCACUUUGGAAAGAGAGUUAAACAGUACGUGAAAUUGUUGAAAGGGAAACGAUUGAAGUCAGUCGUGACCGAGAGGCUCAGCCGGCUCUGCCGGUGUAUUCCCCUCGGUCGGGUCAACAUCAGUUUUGUCCGGUGGAUAAGGGCGGUAGGAAGGUGGCACCCACGGGUGUGUUAUAGCCUGCCGUCACAUACACUGGGUGAGACUGAGGAAUGCAGCUCGCCUUUAUGGCCGGGGUUCGCCCACGUCCGAGCUUAGGAUGUUGACAUAAUGGCUUUAAACGAC